UUCGAUCAGUUUGGGCAACUGAUCCGAUUCCGAUCAUCCGAUCAUUUUUCAAGUACUGUUGUUCCGAUCACCAUUCCGAUCAUCCGAUCCAUAAAAUUUAUAAUAAUUACUACUAUUUUUUUAAAAUAAGAACUACAAGAAACACCUAUUUAGCGAUAUUGACCAUUAAUCUCCUAUCCUUCCUGAUUAAAUAGCUUUCUGAAUAACAAAUAUUGGUCCAUAAAUAGAUUAGUUACAAGAAGAACAUAAGCAAUAAGGUUUUGAUUUUAAGUGAGCUGGUGUUGUGUCAUCUGUCAUCCACGUAUCCUAAGACAUCCAAUCCUGAUCUGCGCAUGCGUGGAUCCCGAUGUUUACAAACACAGUGUUGAUAUCGUAGUUUGUCCAGGCAAGAUGGCGGCAAGACAGCAUGGCAGCUUUUAGGGGAAAAGGGCCAAAUUCAAAAAUGACAAGGAUCCCAUAAUUCAGAUAGCCUACCAUUAAAUGGAGAGAAUCUUAGAAACAUGACCAUCAAUCAGAAAGGAGUGUAGGUUAUCUCAUUUAUCACAUUUACCGACAUACAAGGGGUGUAGGUUACCUCAUUUAUCACAUUUACUGACAUACAAGGGGUGCAGGUUAUCUCAUUUAUCACAUUUACUGACAUACAAGGGGUGUAGGUUACCUCAUUUAUCACAUAUACCGGCAUACAAGGGGUGUAGGUUAUCUCAUUUAUCACAUUUACCGACAUACAAGGGGUGUAGGUCAUCUCAUUUAUCACAUUUACCGACAUACAAGGGGUGUAGGUUAUCUCAUUUAUCACAUUUACUGACAUACAAGGGGUGUAGGUUAUCUCAUUUAUCACAUUUACCGACAUACAAGGGGUGUAGGUUAUCUCAUUUAUCACAUUUACCGACUUACAAGGGGUGCAGGUUAUCUCAUUUAUCACAUUUACCGACAUACAAGGGGUGUAGGUUAUCUCAUUUAUCACAUUUACCGACAUACAAGGGGUGCAGGUUAUCUCAUUUAUCACAUUUACCGACAUACAAGGGGUGCAGGUUAUCUCAUUUAUCACAUUUACCGACAUACAAGGGGUGCAGGUUAUCUCAUUUAUCACAUUUACCGACAUACAAGGGGUGCAGGUUAUCUCAUUUAUCACAUUUACCGACAUACAAGGGGUGCAGGUUAUCUCAU